rnacentral:rRNA from 1 species
AUUGAACGCUGGCGGAAUGCUUUACACAUGCAAGUCGAACGGCAGCACGGGGCAACCUGGUGGCGAGUGGCGAACGGGUGAGUAAUACAUCGGAACGUGCCCAAUCGUGGGGGAUAACGUAGCGAAAGUUACGCUAAUACCGCAUACGAUCUACGGAUGAAAGCGGGGGAUCGCAAGACCUCGCGCGAUUGGAGCGGCCGAUAUCAGAUUAGCUAGUUGGUGGGGUAAAAGCUCACCAAGGCGACGAUCUGUAGCUGGUCUGAGAGGACGACCAGCCACACUGGAACUGAGACACGGUCCAGACUCCUACGGGAGGCAGCAGUGGGGAAUUUUGGACAAUGGGCGCAAGCCUGAUCCAGCCAUUCCGCGUGCAGGAUGAAGGCCUUCGGGUUGUAAACUGCUUUUGUACGGAACGAAACGGUCUGCCCUAAUACGGCGGCUAAUGACGGUACCGUAAGAAUAAGACACCGGCUAACUACGUGCCAGCAGCCGCGGUAAAG